GUGGGGAAUAUUGGACAAUGGGCGAAAGCCUGAUCCAGCCAUGCCGCGUGUGUGAAGAAGGUCUUCGGAUUGUAAAGCACUUUAAGUUGGGAGGAAGGGCAGUAAGUUAAUACCUUGCUGUUUUGACGUUACCGACAGAAUAAGCACCGGCUAACUUCGUGCCAGCAGCCGCGGUAAUACGAAGGGUGCAAGCGUUAAUCGGAAUUACUGGGCGUAAAGCGCGCGUAGGUGGUUUUGUAAGUUGGAGGUGAAAUCCCCGGGCUCAACCUGGGAACUGCCUCCAAAACUGAGUGACUAGAGUACGGUAGAGGGUAGUGGAAUUUCCUGUGUAGCGGUGAAAUGCGUAGAUAUAGGAAGGAACACCAGUGGCGAAGGCGACUACCUGGACUGAUACUGACACUGAGGUGCGAAAGCGUGGGGAGCAAACAGGAUUAGAUACCCCAGUAGUCC
rnacentral:rRNA from 1 species